CAUGCUUUACACAUGCAUGUAGAGCGACAGCGCGGGCGCAACCCUGGCGGAGAGCGGCGAACGGGAGAGUAAUACAUCGGAACGUCUCCUGUCGUGGGGAGAUACCCAGUAAAAAGACUGUAUAAUCCCGCAUGAUAUCAAAAGAUAAAAGCGGGGGACCACAAGGCCUCGCGCGAUUAGAGCGGCAGAUGUCGGAUUAGCUAGUUGGCGGUGUAAAAGCCCCACAAGGCGAAGAUCCGUAGCUGGUUUGAGAGAACGACCAGCCACACUGGGAGUGAGACACGGCCCAGACUCAUACGGGAGGCAGCAGUGGAGAAUUUUGGACAAUGGGCGCAAGCCUGAUCCACCCAUGCCGCGUGUGUGAAGAAGGCCUUCGGGUUGUAAAGCACUUUCGGCCGGAACGAAAUCGCGCGGGUGAACAUCCCGCGUGGAUGACGGUACCGGAAGAAGAAGCACCGGCUAACUACGUGCCAGCAGCCGCGGUAAUACGUAGGGUGCGAGCGUUAAUCGGAAUUACUGGGCGUAAAGGGUGCGCAGGCGGCUCCACAUGUCAGGCGUGAAAUCCCCGGUCUUAACCUGGGAAUGGCGCUUGAAACUACGGGGUUGGAUUAUGGCAGAGGGAGGUGGAAUUCCACGUGUAGCGGUGAAAUGCGUAGAGAUGUGGAGGAACACCGAUGGCGAAGGCAGCCUCCUGGGCCAAUACUGACGCUCAUGCAGAAAAGCGUGGGGAGCAACCAGGAUUAGAUACCUUGGUAUUCCACCCCUUAAACGAUGAUAAUUAGUUGUUGGAGGAGUUAAAUCCUUUAGUAACGCAGCUAACGCGAGAAGUCAUCCGCCUGGGGAGUACGGUCGCAAGAUUAAAACUCAAAGGAAUUGACGG
rnacentral:rRNA from 1 species